ACAGCGCAUACCCAAACCUCCCCAGGGUGACAUCAUCCCAUAUAUGGACUCUCCAGCCCAGCCCUCCCCCUUUUCCUGGUCCUAAAUUCAUUGCCAGUUCCCCAGUCUGCAGCAAAUGUGCCACGUCAAGACUGGAAAUCACAGCCCUUGAGUGUGUCUCAGUCAGCGCAGCAGAAUUCAGGGGGGAAAGCUGAAUGCAACCCCUGGUGCAGGAAGGGAGGCUUUUCCUGAGGACCGGGAGAGGAUUUUAAGUACAUGGAAGGAAGCUUCUGGAGAUCCUGCUCCGUCGCCCCAGUGUUCAGACUACCUGUUCAGGACAAUGCCGUUGUACAGUAGUCUGCACAUUGGUUUUGCACACUAGGGACCAAGAAGCCCUCGGGGACACUGCUGAGAAAAGACUGCCGAAGGGAAGACCAGCGGGGAUCAUGGAAUCUAUUCCAGAGGAAACUAACCAACAGUGAGCAUCUUCAACUAAAACUACCCCUGGAUGUAAUGGUUGCAUGCAUCAUUCCUUUAAUUGAGCAGAGUUAACUGGAUCAAAUUAUUUAUGGGAGAGAGAGGAAAAGUUAUAAAGAAUUUUAGUAAUUUUUAAUUUCCACCACUAUACUCUUUGUAAGUGAAUCACUCUAUAAUUACUUUCUGUUGCACUGAAUGCAGCAACAGUAACACAAUAGUAUUUUAAGGCACUGGUUUUUGGCAUACUCUAACCUUGUAGCUAUUUAAAUAACAGACAAGUUUACUCAUGUUUAUUAUUCUGUCAAGGAAAAAAAAAGUUCCUUUACUCGGAAGUGAUGGCCAGAAACAGAAUCAGAAAUUUACUUUCUUGAAAUUACAUAAGUACACAGAAAAUGGCACUUAUCAGCUUUUGUUAAAACAUUACCUUAUCUAAUCACUGCAUAAAAGUCCAGAUUUGUAGAAAAUUGUCAUUUUCUCAGUAUCUAAAAACUAUUUUGCUUUCCAUUAAGUUUCUAUUUGCUAUUUUCUCAGAAUUUUACAAUUAAAGAUAAAUCAUAAACUAUUUGUUUUUCUUAAAGUUCUUUGAGAAAAUGUCUAAUUAUACAAUCUGUGGACAAUACUGUGUUUUUUGGUGCUGUAUUUUUUAAGAAGUCCUACUUACUGGAAUUUUGACUAUUUGGAUAUUUUUGUUUUUAAAAGGGGAGGGGAAUUUGCUUAAUACUUCUACAAAUGUGAAUUGAUAAUUGAUAUUAAAAUAGUAGAAUUAUUCUCGACUCACCAGAAUUAAAUUUUGUAUCUGCGUAUUUAACACUAUUAGCUCUUAUAUAAAUUAUAGAAAAUUUUUCAAAGGAUCUGGUUUUAAUUUUUUGGAUAUGAAAUGAAUUUGCCUUUUCUGCCUUUUCUUAAGGUACUAUUUUGUAACUAUGUUGCACUAACUAUAUCCAAAACACAUUCUGAGCAUCACUGUAACAACCUUCCAGUUUAUACCCUUUUGAUUCACAGCAUGUCCCUGUAGUUAAUUAAGAGGUGGAUAACUUAAGCUCACAACUGCCUUUAAUUUGAUUUCACAUCCACACUUAGAAACUUUGCAUUUAAAAGGAAAAUGAAACAUUUAAAUCGGUUCCUGUUGUUUAACAUAUAAUUGGUAAAAACAUAUUCCCUUGUAAAAUCCUAUUAUCAAAGCAUCAGAUACCAAAGUCAGCAGCUUGUGUUGCCAAAUAUAUUAGGCUCAUUAUUUUGAAAAGGGCUGCUGUUUCCAUGUCAAUGAUAAUUUUCUUUUUCAUGGGCAAGGUUAUUGUACUUAUCUACUAAAAGAAACAUGUAUAAACAUAGUUUUUAUCUUUAACUUCAGUAUUAAAAUAUGCAGUUUUUUGCAAAGAGGAAAAACAUCUGGUUCAAUUACUCUGAACUCUGACUACAUGUGGGCCAGUACUAAUAUGAAUUGGAUUUAAGAAAAAACCUUGUGUUUAAUCUCUUUUUUUCCUAAAAUUUUAAUGUGAGCUUUCUGUUAUGCAAAUUAUCCAUGUUAGCACAUUUGGAACAAAUGUAUAAAUGUACUUUCUGAAUAAAGUCAAAAGUCUAACGUGUUUUUAGUUCCAUAAUGUUUUAAUGUUUAAUUAUAUUGUGUAUUUUUCUCCCUUUCCCCUUACUCUCCAAAAUCACCAAAUCUGGAAAACAGGCUGAUUGUAUCUGUCUAUGAGCAAAGGAAACCUGAAGGAACCAAGGGCCUGGCUGGACAGAGUUGUCAUGUGUCUGCCUGUCUACACUUGCUGUGCAGAACAUCCGCUCACCUGUACAGCAGGCACAGACAGGCAGUCACAUGACAACCCAGCCUGAAUGACAACCAGCCAUUGAAAGAAAGCAGCCCUCACACCAUAGCAUCUACACCAAGAGCUACAACCAAAAUGAGGGGCUUGGGGCCUGGGGCUUUAAUCUGUUGGUUUAAUACUUAACUCAUGUAUUAUUUUAUUUUGAUUCAAGUAUUAAAACCCACCAAAAGUAAAGUGAGUGGUGCCUAUGAAAUAUAAUAAAACCCAUUUCUGAAAAUG